rnacentral:rRNA from 1 species
UACGAAGGGGGCUAGCGUUGCUCGGAAUCACUGGGCGUAAAGGGUGCGUAGGCGGGUCUUUAAGUCAGGGGUGAAAUCCUGGAGCUCAACUCCAGAACUGCCUUUGAUACUGAGGGUCUUGAGUUCGGGAGAGGUGGAGUGGAACUGCGAGUGUAGAGGUGAAAUUCGUAGAUAUUCGCAAGAACACCAGUGGCGAAGGCGGCUCACUGGCCCGGUACUGACGCUGAGGUGCGAAAGCGUGGGGAGCAAACAGGG